AUUGAACGCUGGCGGCAUGCUUUAUACAUGCAAGUCGAACGGAAAGGUGACUACCGGUGUCCACGAGCGGUGAACGCGGGCGUGUUGGUAAGACAUGUAUACCCUAGCUGGGGGACUGGGAUAGCUUCCUGAAAUCAUAUCGAAUGCCAUAUGAGGUUGUCAACCGCGUGGUGCGAUAGAAAGAUUGGGUUUGGCUCUCUCUUAUAGCUGAAGCCGCGCUGCCUUAGCUAUUUGGUAAGGUAAAGGCCUACCAAGGCAACGAUGCGUAGCCGACCUGAGAGGGCGAUCGGCCACACUGGGACUGAGACACGGCCCAGACUCCUACGGGAGGCAGCAGUAGGGAAUUUUGGGCAAUGGGCGCAAGCCUGAUCCAGCAAUGCCGCGUGCGUGAAGAAGGCCUUCGGAUUGUAAACCGCUGUUGUCAGGAACGAAACAAUGUCCAAGAAUCCCUGCAGCUAUUGACGGUACCUACUGAGAAAGCACCGGCUAACUACGUG
rnacentral:rRNA from 1 species